rnacentral:rRNA from 1 species
AUUGAACGCUGGCGGCAUGCCUUACACAUGCAAGUCGAGCGGCAGCGCGGGGGCAACCCUGGCGGCGAGCGGCGCACGGGGGAGUAAUGCAUCGGAACGUGUCCUCUUGUGGGGGAUAACCAGUCGAAAGACUGGCUAAUACCGCAUGAGCACGAGAGAGGAAGGCGGGGGACCGCAAGGCCUCGCGCGAGAGGAGCGGCCGAUGCCCGAUUAGCUAGUUGGUGGGGUAACGGCCCACCAAGGCGACGAUCCGUAGCUGGUUUGAGAGAACGACCAGCCACACUGGGACUGAGACACGGCCCAGACUCCUACGGGAGGCAGCAGUGGGGAAUUUUGGACAAUGGGGGCAACCCUGAUCCAGCCAUGCCGCGUGAGUGAAGAAGGCCUUCGGGUUGUAAAGCUCUUUCGGCCGGAACGAAAUCGCGCGGGUGAACAAUCCGCGUGGAUGACGGUACCGGAAGAAGAAGCACCGGCUAACUACGUGCCAGCCGCCGCGGUAAGAC